AGACACACACAAUAACGAGGGACCAAUCCGAUGAGUAACCAGCGGCUUUAACCUCUACACUCAGAUAGCCGGUCCAAGUCUACACAAAUCCCUAUCUGAACAAUUAGAAAGAAUAUAUAUAUAUACAUAAUAUACAUAUAUCAAACAUGAUAUAUAGAAAAACUCGCAGCAUAGCACGGGUAUUCACCUAGUGUAUAAGAAAAGAAGGAUAUGUGAUGUGCUUAAGUUGUACAUGAUACAUAUGCAUAAUUAAUAUGAUCAAGCUGUUCAUCAAUAGGGACAAGAGGUUAUGUUGACUUCCUUCAACGGAAUAAGUCUCAACAAGAAGAGAAAGAAGCUCUUUCUCAGGAUGGGCGUGAAGCCAAUCGGGCAGCUCUGAAGAUGAAGCUUGCAGCAAAAUAAGCAGAGAGGAUGAAGAAACUUGUGUCUGCCUACUAGACACAAAAGGGGAAGAAAGAGAGAGAGAUUUACAACGUGCUAGAAGAGUCAAGGACUACAAGUCCACCAAACCGGAGUUACAACAUGCAAACUUCUGACCUUGAAUUUCUUUUUUCUUUUUUCUUUUUUUAAGAAGCUCCUUUAGUACACUGAUUCAAAUAGUGAUUGAUUCUUAUCAAACAAUUUUUCAAACAA